GGCGGAUUAGCUCAGCUGGUUAGAGCACACGGCUCAUAUCCGUGGCGUCCGGGGUUCAAGUCCCUGAUCCGCCA
rnacentral:tRNA from 1 species